rnacentral:sRNA from 1 species
AGUGUGGUCUUGCUGGGGACUGGACCUGUCCAUGGGGUGGAAUGGAAAGUCCAGUGGCAGACCCAAGUCUAGGUAAAGGACUGGAAACACCAAGGCAGCCUUUCAGGUCACCUGGGGAGAGGGUAGAUUCUUCUCCUCCAUAUCCAGCCUCCCCUCCUUGGUUCCUGUUCUCCUCCCUUUCUCCACUUCCCUCCCCACCUGCAUGGUCUCUUGCAGGUUCACAAGUUUUUAAACAGAAACCGGGAUCAGCUGGACCCUGCUGUGGUGGAGAUGCUUGGCCAGAGCCAGCUGCAGCUGGUGGGCAGCCUGUUCCAGGAGGCAGAGCCCCAGUCCAGGGGAGGGCGAGGCAGACCCACGCUGGCCUCUCGCUUCCAGCAGGCCCUGGAGGACCUCAUAGCCCGGCUGGGCAGGAGCCAUGUCUAUUUCAUCCAGUGCCUCAC